AUGGAUUGCAACCUUAAAUUUCUUUUCUAGAAUGUGCGUGGUCUAAAUUCUGGUGCUAAGCGUACGGCCAUCCGCAGUGUGAUCUCCACUGCCGCCCCCGCCAUCAUGUCUCUGCAAGAGACCAAGCUGGCUCACAUCUCAGGCUCCACCGUCCUUGACACCCUUGGCCCCCUUUUCAAGGAUUUCUACUUCCUUCCGGCCAUCGGCACCCGCGGAGGCAUGCUCCUCGCAUGGCAUAGAUCCCAUGUAUCCCUCUCCACCCCCCUGAUUGGCGAGCAUCAUAUCACUACCCUAGUCACGCCCGCCGCUGGUGACGGUCAUUGGUGGCUCACCUGCGUGUACGGCCCCCAAGAUGAUGAGGCCAAACUCGACUUCCUCGCUGACCUCCACGAUGUGUGCGAUUCAUGCAUCGAGCCUUGGCUCCUUGGCAGAGAUUUCAACAUGAUCACCUCGGCGGCCGACAAGAAUAACUUGAAUCUAAAUUACCAUGUCACGAAUAGAUUUCGGCGCUUCAUCGCCGACAAGGAGCUCCGCUAUAUGUACUUGCACGGACGCCGCUACACUUGGUCUAGUGAGCGUGACACGCCGACUCUUGUGCGGAACAACCGAAUUCUUUGCACGUCCAGAUGGGAGAUCACCCACCGAUAUGUCUCUGUCAUAUCUACUUUUCCAAACACUUUUGCCCUUGUUUUGGACUCUAACUUGCAUGAUUUGAAUGGAACUAACCCGGACUGA
rnacentral:rRNA from 1 species